rnacentral:rRNA from 1 species
CCUACGGGAGGCAGCAGUGGGGAAUAUUGGGCAAUGGGCGCAAGCCUGACCCAGCAACGCCGCGUGAAGGAAGAAGGCUUUCGGGUUGUAAACUUCUUUUGACAGGGAAGAGUAGAAGACGGUACCUGUCGAAUAAGACACGGCUAACUACGUGCCAGCAGCCGCGGUAAUACGGAGGUGGCAAGCGUGGUCCGGAUUUACUGGGUGUAAAGGGCGUGUAGCCGGGUUGACAAGUCAGAUGGGCCCUCCUGCGCCUGAACCGCAGAACUGCAUUUGAAACUGUUGAUCUUGAGUACUGGAGAGGCCGCCGGAAUUCCUAGUGUAGCGGUGAAAUGCGUAGAUAUUAGGAGGAACACCAGUGGCGCAGGCGGUCUGCUGGACAGCACCUGACGGUGAGGCGCGAACGCGUGGGGAGCAAACAGGAUUAGAUACCCCUGUAGUC